ensembl:lncRNA
CUAAAAUAUUGAGCAAAAGAGGGUAAAAACAUGGUUUUGACAGUUUUGUCUUAUGUAUGGUUGUGGUUACAGACAACUACAAGGAGUUGAUGGGGAAAAAAGAAGCCUUCCUCAAGGAUGAGGACAUCUGGCACAUGGCAGUUGCAAGAAGGACCACACCUUGUACCACAACACAUGAUGGAAGCAAACCAAAGAAGCCGAAGAUGACAAAGGCUGCAAGAGACCGAGCCCUUUCCCAACUGAAAUCCUCGCUGCUGAGAAGAAAGCAAACAACCUCCACCCCCUUGACAAAUGAAGACGAUACAGACAUAGACACCAAUGUGGACUUAUUUGACCCACCUCAGGCUUCGGGAUCAACUGACCUCUCCCAAGGGGAAAGUGAAGAGGAGAGUGUCCUGAUGGAUCAGCCCAGAUCCAGUGUUGGCAUGCAACAGGAAGUGAUGGAUGCUCUGAAAGAAAUACCAGCCUUAGUCAAGUGUGUCAAAGAUCUUAUUGCAACCAUGAAGAGAAUGCCACCUGUCAUGGACACUGACAGUACAUGUUCUGGUUCUUCCAGUCCAGCUCCAGGAAUGAUUUCCCUUGGCAACAAGGGGGUGCAGGUCAGCAAAACCUGUUUCAAAAGACUCAACCGAACAAGAAUGUCCCUGUUCACACAGGACUUAACUGUGCUCCUCUUUGGGCGGGAUGUUUUGGCAUCCUCGACUCUCACAGGAAAACCAGGGCUUACUGGAACAGCGAAAGAGCAGCUAAAUCCGGAAAAGCUGAGUGCCCUUGUUGAUACAGUUAUUGCUGAAUUUCCAGGAACAAAUGUGUCUGAUGUGAGGGUGAUUCGGAGAAAGUGUAACAAUGAGAAUUUUGUGAGCAAAAAGAAACAGUAAGCAGUAAAUCAGUAACUGUUUGUAAUAAUUUCUUGUUUGUUUUUUCUUUGGUGGACAUACAUUUUGAGUUUAAACAAACUGUGAAUGUUUCACAUGUAAAAGUUUCAACAGUCAGUUUAAUGUUUAAUGUUUUUUAAUGUUUUCAAAAGUCAGUUUCAGUUUAAUGUUCAUCCCUGUCAUUACUAGCAAUGGUACGAUGAAGAGAAACAGUUUGAAAAUGUUGUUAAAGAUGUAUUUUGUACCCUGUCAUGCCGUGCAUGUUAAAAAUAAACUUUAUUUCUACCUCAAGUAUGUUCUAAAUAUUUUUUAUGUUUACUUAAAAGUAAUUUGAAAUUCA